CAACAUCAACAACCAAAACAAAAACAAACAAACAAAAACAGAAUAGUUAAUUCUACAAAAUUUGCAAGCGAAUUCUUGCAGGUACUCCUAGUGGAAGACACAGGACAGCCUGGCAGUGUGUGUACCUAUGUGCAUCUCCAGGUGUAGAGAAUGAGGAGCAGGAAUCAAAAUUGCUCUUGAAAGUUGGAAAGAUCCUUUGCUCCUAGGACAGAGCAGGGGAGAGCAUCACGAAUCUUGCUUCUGAGUCAUUUGUGUAUAGUGCCUGGCCAGUGGUGCUUCUGCUAAAAUCUGUCAGAGCAGCUGCUUCCUCUUGAAGGAGAGACUAAAAGAAUAUUUGUAGUAUCUUGGUGUCUGAGAAUUGCCUGUGCAUUCCUGUGUGGUGCCCUCCACCGCCAGCAUCUGAUAGAUGAAGUCAGUCAUUCCCAGCCAGCUCGUAAGCGUCGUAGUGCUGGAGAGGCUUCGUGAUCAGUGCAGCCAGCGAUCUUUUCAUCACCUGUGGUUUCAGGCUGAAGUUCUCCAGGAAACCUUGUUUACAGGGUACCAGAGAACAUCUGCAUCACUGCUGGAAACCGCCCAGUUUGCACGUAUAAAAAGCAUGAGCUUGUCCAAGCUACUGCCGUGUCUCACUUCAGCAGGAAGCUGCUGAAACCUCUCACCAUAAAGUGCAGCUGUGAAUGGCCCAACUCUUGCAUCCUGUGUAGCUGCAAAACCUCUCUCCAGACAAUAGACCCCGAUACCAUGUCCCUAGGAGAGCAGAUAGCCCUACAGGACCCUGGCUUCCAUCCCAUACUGUCCUUAUCUCAAGGCAACCCUCUCCACUUACACUUUGACACCUUGUUAAGAGAGGACAGAUUGCACAGACUGCUGAGCCAUAAACUCAGGACUCUGAAAAUGUCCAAUUUUGGAAAGAAGCAGGAUCCAACUAGCAGUGCAUUCCCAAAGCUACCCUCUUCACUUCUGCUCGCCUCCGAUCUGUGCUGUGUUUGGGCUCAAGUGCGCAGCAUUUGCUUUGGAAGCCUUUUCAGAUGAGCCUGUGAAGAAAAGGAACCUAAGUGGAGGUGGCAAGGCAGUAGACUCAACACCACCAAUGGAUAGCUGAACUGGUGAUCCUGGAAAUGUGAACUCUGAAGUAUUUACCAGUCUUAAAAUUUGGGUUUGCGUGGGCACACUGGCAAACAGAGCUAGUGCUCUAAAUUGGAUCCGGGUGUGAGCUUUCAGCAGGUGUUGGGGCUGGGAUGAGAACAUACGGCCUUGGGAGCCUCGCAUGUUUUCUCUUCUGGAUUCUGCAUGCCAAGCCACAAUGAGCACUAUGUUUUCAUGUGCUUUGGCUCCCAUGAAUCUGUCUCUGUUUGAAAUCCUUCGGGCUGUGAGAUGGAGCCCAGGAGCGUGAUCCCAGCUGCUGACUGACCCAGCACUACUUCUCCCUGCAGAGGAAGCCUCCGCACCCCUGCCUGUUCCCAAGCGAUGCUCUGGGAUCUUCUGAUGAAAGCAGACAAAUUCUGCUUAAGAUUCACUCGGGAAUUUAUUAAAGACUGUCAGCAUCAAAACUGGGUAGUUUUAAAUAGGGUACAUUCGCACCUUAUUUACUCUCUAGUUAUGUUUCUCAAUUUCCCUAUCUAUCUUCCACUUUUUUUUUUUAAUUCCCAAAACACUGUUUAUGAGAUGAUUAUCUCUCUGUAUGCUCUGCUCACCAAGGAGCAGUGCUCCCAGCCCGAGGACAAUGGGACUCUACCACAUCCUGUGGCAGCCAGUUAGGGAACAAACAGCCUGAGCUGAAGCUGCGUGAGGUAAAUGCUUUUUGUUUCUCCACAGGAACACAAAGAUUACCUGCCCUAUACCAAGGGCUCAGCUGUUUGGGAACAGUGAAGGGAAAAAAAUAAGAACCUAAGUUCUGUAAUUACUGUAAUUACAGCUCCCAAGGGACAGCUGUGAGGAAGUGUGUGGGCUUGAUGGGCAGCUGCAGGAGGGCGCAGGGCUCUCCACACAACUUGGCAGCCCAGGGAAGUGGUGGAGUCCCCAUCCAUGGAGGUCUUUAAAAGACGUUUAGAUGUAGAGCUUAGUGAUAUGGUUUAGUGGGGACUGUUAGUGUUAGGUCAGAGGUUGGACUCGAUGAUCUAGAGGUCUCUUCCAACCUAGAAAUUCUGUGAUUUUUGGAUUGUUCGCUUCGGGUGCUGCGCUGCCACCCUCCCCUUUGUUUCU